AGAGUUUGAUCAUGGCUCAGAUUGAACGCUGGCGGCAGGCCUAACACAUGCAAGUCGAGCGGAUGAAAGGAGCUUGCUCCUGGAUUCAGCGGCGGACGGGUGAGUAAUGCCUAGGAAUCUGCCUGGUAGUGGGGGACAACGUUUCGAAAGGAACGCUAAUACCGCAUACGUCAUACGGGAGAAAGCAGGGGACCUUCGGGCCUUGCGCUAUCAGAUGAGCCUAGGUCGGAUUAGCUAACUGGUGAGGUAAUGGCUCACCAAGGCGACGAUCCGUAACUGGUCUGAGAGUAUGAUCAGUCACACUGGAACUGAGACACGGUCCGGCCUCCUACGGGAGGCAGCAGUGGGGAAUAUUGGACAAUGGGCGAAAGCCUGAUCCAGCCAUGCCGCGUGUGUGAAGAAGGUCUUCGGAUUGUAAAGCACUUUAAGUUGGGAGGAAGGGUUGUAGAUUAAUACUCUGCAAUUUUGACGUUACCGACAGAAUAAGCACCGGCUAACUCUGUGCCAGCAGCCGCGGUAAUACAGAGGGUGCAAGCGUUAAUCG
rnacentral:rRNA from 1 species